rnacentral:lncRNA from 1 species
GCUGAAGUUCCAGAGCCGGUAAACGCAUGCCUGGGUGCUGCUUUCACUCCUACCACCCUCAGAAAAACCCGGCCUGCCAAGACCGUGAGCAAGAAUAGUAGAACUUCACAAGAGUUCAACAAUUUUUAUGAAUUUCUAAUCCAACCUCAUCAUCCUAUGGGAAACAGAAGACCACCAAGAACAGCCAGCUGAGACAGAAUUUCACUGUGUUGCCCAAGCCAAUCUUAAACUCCUGGUCUCAAGCGAUCCUCCUGCCUUGGCCUCCCACUGUGCCUGGCCUAUGGACUCUGAAUUUUUUUAAAAGACUGGAAAAAACUUUUAUAAGAGAAUUGGAAAUUUGGACAAUGGAAUCUCAUUCUGUCACCAGGCUGAAGUGCAGUGACGUGAUCUUGGCUCACUGCAACCUCCACCUCCUGGGUUCAAGCGAUUCUCCUGCCUCAGCCUCCUGAGUAGCUGGGAUUACAGGUAUCUUGGCAGUAACCUCCUCCAUAUAUUUCCUUGGCCCUCAGCUUACAUCUAGCAAAAUGACUCUACUGGUUCCAGGCUUCACAUGCAUACAACAUGGUGUUGGAGGAACAGAGAUGUUUUCUCUUCCUGGUGUUUUCCCAGACAUUUCUUAGCUGGCAUUUCAAACAAGGGUCCUGAAAUUCACCCUGGUUGGGUCGUGUUCUCCCCUUCCCAUUCCCCAUCCCCACCCUCAACCGAAAAAUGAUGUAAGCAGGGGAAAUUGAAUGUACCAAUGUUUGUUUUUAAACAAGCCACAGACCCCUCCCCAACUCCCCGACUGAAGCUUGAAGUGGGAUCAGCUUUCCCUAAAGUACUUGAGCUUAUGGUAAAGCAUAUAUGUUAUCCAAGUUAAAGUCUGGACGCUGUUAGUAAUGGGAAGGCAAGUAAUGAAUGUUAGCUAUGGAGCCAACAGACAGUGUCCACUCCAUUGUCUUUAAGGCCCAACUAAAGAUAACCUCUUUACCAAUGUCGGUUUAUUUAUUCAUUUAUUUAUUCAUUGAGAUGGAGUCUCACUCUCUCACCCAAGCUGGAGUGCAGUGGAAUGAUCUCAGCUGACUGCAAUUUCUGCCUCCCAGGUUCAAGCAAUCUCCUGCUUCAGCCUCCCAAGUAGCUGGGAUUACAGGCGCACACCACCAUGCCCGGCUAAUUUUUGUAUUUUUAGUAGAGAUAGGGUUUCACCAUGUUGGCCAAGCUGGUCUCGGACACCUGACCUCAAGUGAUCUGCCUGCCUCGGCCCCCAAAGGUGUGAGCCACUGCACCUGGCUACAAUGUCAGUUUCUAUAAAAACUGCCUUGACUUGUUUUGUUUGCUUGUUUUGUUUGUUUGUGUUUUAAUUUUUAUUAUUUUUUUUUAGAGACAGGGUCUCAAUCUGUUGUCUAGGCUUGAGUGCAGUGGUGCAAUCAUAGCUCACUGAAGUGUUGGACUCCCAGGCUCAAGCAGUCCUCCCACCUCAGCCUCCCAAGUAGCUGAGACUACAGGCAUGCACCACCCUGUCUGGCUAAUUUUUUAUUUUUAGUAGAGAUGAGGUCUCACUAUGUUGCCCAAGGUGGCCUCAAACUCCUGGCCUCAAGUACUCCUGUGGCCUUAGCCUCCCAAAGCUCUGGGAUUGCAGGUAUGAGCCGCCAUGCCUGGCCUACUGUAUAUUUUAUGCAUUUGAUAUAAGUCUUGCCUCCCUAAGUAUAUUACAAGUCCCUUGAAGUUAAAGACAUUAGAUUCCUACUCAGUGCUGAGCUGCAACAGAGAGCACUCAAUGAUGGAUAAAAUAGUUUUAGCAUGCAUUCAGCGAUAUAUAUUUAGAAAGUGGAACUAGGUGGUUGAAAAAAGUGUAUAGAUGGGUGGAAGGGAAUAUUACAGCUCUUAGAAUUGUCCUAAGGUGAGAGUAACAAAUUAAGCAAUGAGUCCCUGGGUUCACUCAAGCAACUUCACUCUCUAAAACAAGAGCCCACAGAAUCCCAUUUCUGCUUUCAGAAUGAGUUUGAGGCCAAUAUUAUUUCCAUUUUUUUUCUUUUUCUUUCUUUCUUUUUUUUUUUUUUUUUUUUGAGACGGAGUUUCACUCUUGUUGCCCAGGCUGUUUUGAUCUCGGCUCACUGCAACCUCUGCCCCUGGGUUCAAGCGAUUCUCCUGUCUCAACCUCCCAAGCUGGGAUUACAAGCAUGCGCUACCACACCUGGCUAAUUUUGUAUUUUUAAUAGAGACGGGGUUUCUCUGUGUUGGUCAGGCUGGUCUCAAACUCCCAACCUCAGGUGAUCUGCCCACCUUGGCCCAGCCUCCAAUAUGAUUUUCUAAUAGCUGUGUUUGAUGAUUAUAUUUAUUCCUCCAUCAGUAGCUUUUUUAGCCUUGAAAAUAUCUAUUUAAGUUUCUUAUUUCCUUUGGAUCUAUCAAAGUGUUUUUCCCCAAGUGGCACCUGGGAAAACAUAUUCUAUUCAUUUAUUUUAUAACUGUUCCCUUGACCUCUUUAUUGCUUCCCUAUUACAACCCAAGAUGCUCUUGUAAACCUGACUUAAUAUUGGCAGUCUUCAUCCCUUGCAAAUGGAAGUGAUGACAGACCCAAUACUUUGUGUAAAAAUAUUUUGCUAUUUCUAUACAAAAUAUUUUAUUAAUGGAAACCACAUGUUAUGUAUUUUACAUAUGUUAUGACUUGAAAUUUAUGUUAUGACUUGAAAUUGGGGAAUCUGAUAUGUCUCUAAUAAUAAAGGCUUCACAGUACAACUGUUGUUUGUAGAUUUACAGAUGGCUGGCAUUUUAAUUUUUUAAUUUAAAUUUUUAAUUCAAAUAUGAUUGACCUGAAAUAUUAACAAAAAUUAUCCUUGAAUUGUUGCACUGCAAAAUAAGAAAGCAAAAUCAGCUAUCUAUGAUGCAACAUUUUAUUUAUAAAUUAAGAUUGUUAGCACUCAUCUAUUGAUUUUUCUCUCUAUUAAACAUACUCCUAAUAAUAAAGGGAAGGAAGGAUCUUUGUAAAGUUAAAUUUACCGUAGCAAAGAAUAGAGGUGAUAAUUAAUAACAUGUUAAAACUCCUU